GACCUCGGAUCAGGCGGGGCUACCCGCUGAACUUAAGCAUAUCAAUAAGCGGAGGAAAAGAAACCAACAGGGAUUGCCCUAGUAACGGCGAGUGAAGCGGCAACAGCUCAAAUUUGAAAUCUGGCCUUCGGGUCCGAGUUGUAAUUUGUAGAGGAUGCUUCUGAGUGGCCACCGACCUAAGUUCCUUGGAACAGGACGUCAUAGAGGGUGAGAAUCCCGUAUGCGGUCGGAAAGGCGCUCUAUACGUAGCUCCUUCGACGAGUCGAGUUGUUUGGGAAUGCAGCUCAAAGCGGGUGGUAAAUCUCAUCUAAGGCUAAAUACCGGCCAGAGACCGAUAGCGCACAAGUAGAGUGAUCGAAAGAUGAAAAGCACUUUGGAAAGAGAGUUAAACAGUACGUGAAAUUGUUGAAAGGGAAACGAUUGAAGUCAGUCAUGCUCUUUGGUAUUUAUAUCAUUGAGUGGGGUCAACAUCAGUUUUGAUCGAUGGAUAAAGGCACUAGGAAUGUAGCACUCUCGGGUGAACUUAUAGCCUAGCGUCAUAUACAUUGAUUGGGACUGAGGAACGCAGCAUGCCUUUAUGGCCGGGAUUCGUCCACGUACAUGCUUAGGAUGUUGACAUAAUGGCUUUAAACGACCCGUCUUGAAACACGGACCAAGGAGUCUA
rnacentral:rRNA from 1 species